UGCAUGGUUGUCGUCAGCUCGUGCUGUGAAGUGUCGGGUUAAGUCCCAUAACGAGCGCAACCCCUAUUUCUAGUUGCCAGCGGUUCGGCCGGGGACUCUAGAGAAACUGCCAGCGUAAGCUGUGAGGAAGGUGGGGACGACGUCAAAUCAUCACGGCCCUUACGUCCUGGGCCACACACGUGCUACAAUGGUGGGGACAACGAGUUGCCAACCCGCAAGGGUGAGCUAAUCUCUCAAACCCCAUCUCAGUUCGGAUCGGAGUCUGCAACUCGACUCCGUGAAGUUGGAAUCGCUAGUAAUCGCGCAUCAGCCAUGGCGCGGUGAAUACAGUUCCCUGGC
rnacentral:rRNA from 1 species